rnacentral:rRNA from 1 species
AGCGAACGCUGGCGGCAGGCCUAACACAUGCCAGUCGAACGAACUCUUCGGAGUUAGUGGCGGACGGGUGAGUAACACGUGGGAACGUGCCUUUUGGUUCGGAAUAACUCAGGGAAACUUGUGCUAAUACCGAAUGUGCCCUUCGGGGGAAAGAUUUAUCGCCAUUAGAGCGGCCCGCGUCUGAUUAGCUAGUUGGUGAGGUAACGGCUCACCAAGGCGACGAUCAGUAGCUGGUCUGAGAGGAUGACCAGCCACACUGGGACUGAGACACGGCCCAGACUCCUACGGGAGGCAGCAGUGGGGAAUCUUGCGCAAUGGGCGAAAGCCUGACGCAGCCAUGCCGCGUGAAUGAUGAAGGUCUUAGGAUUGUAAAAUUCUUUCACCGGGGACGAUAAUGACGGUACCCGGAGAAGAAGCCCCGGCGAACUGCGU